UAGUGACAUGUAAAAAAGCCUGCUAACAUAUUAGCAAGCUUUUUUACAUGUCACUAGAAUCGGAU
rnacentral:sRNA from 1 species